AUGGUAACGCAAAAAGAGUUUGUAUAUCAAAAAGAUGAUUCAGACCGGUUCCGCACACCUUCCAAAAUGAAUUUGCAAAAGGAUGAUAACGGCGUUGAUGUAACUUCUCGUGGAAACACACCUUUUUACUGCACACCUGAGUACUGGGAUAGUUUCAAGGGUGAUAUGGAUGAUCCUGUCCAAGUACCAGAAGUAUCAGAUGAAAAAGCUGCCACAUCUUUGGAGACGGACGAAAUCGCAUCGCAUGCGUCGGUUGGUUCUCAAGGAGUACAAGAGGAAGUGGAGGAGGUUACUGGCAGGCGCAAGCGCAGAGGAUCACAACAUGUCAAGUCUCCUUAUGUGGUCCCUAAACCAAACAAACGUGCAAAACGUUCUGCCAAAGGAAGUAAGUUUUCUGUGUUUCUAAUUGUUAUUGCGUAA
rnacentral:rRNA from 1 species